AUGGCCGUCGCGGGUCAAAAAGUAGUACCUGUUCUUAUCAGCUUAAUAUCUGAUACGGGUUGUGUUUGGACCCCAGAUAUUAAACUUAUUUUUGCAAGUUGGCGGAGUGCUAAUUGAAGCCUGAUUCACCUCCUCCGCGGGUCGGCCCAGUAUUGCACUAUCUUUGGGAUUUUUGGCCUACGGACA